CAGCAGCCACGGGAAUACAGAGGGUGCGAGCGUUAAUCGGAUUUACUGGGCGUAAAGCGUGCGUAGGCGGCUUUUUAAGUCGGAUGUGAAAUCCCUGAGCUUAACUUAGGAAUUGCAUUCGAUACUGGGAAGCUAGAGUAUGGGAGAGGAUGGUAGAAUUCCAGGUGUAUCGGUGAAAUGCGUAGAGAUCUGGAGGAAUACCGAUGGCGAAGGCAGCCAUCUGGCCUAAUACUGACGCUGAGGUACGAAAGCAUGGGGAGCAAACAGGAUUAGAUACCCCCGUAGUCCCUGUCUCUUAUAC
rnacentral:rRNA from 1 species